GCGACACUCCAUGUUGCACCUACCUGACAGCGACCUCGGGGAAGACAGCAGCCCCACUGCAGUCAACGGGGUUAAUCGCAGGGCAGCCACGCUCUACAAUCAGUUUACCCCAAAGAAUGAAGACAAUAGAUCAUUUGAAGGAAUCCUGUACAAGCGAGGGGCAUUACUUAAAGCUUGGAAAGCUAGGUGGUUUGUUCUUGACGUAACAAAACAUCAGCUGAGGUAUUAUGAGACGGAUGAGGAUACAAACUGUCGUGGCUAUAUUGACCUGGCUGAAGUGGAAUCUGUCCUGA